rnacentral:rRNA from 1 species
UUAGUCCAGAUGACAAUACUGUACUUGGCUGAGCUUGGCUGGGCCUGGAAACUAAACAGGAUCUGGACUGGUUAGUACUUGGACAGGAUUCUUUCAUGGAAUACCAGAACUGGAGGCUAAA